UACGAAGGGGGCGAGCGUUGUUCGGAAUUACUGGGCGUAAAGGGCUGGUAGGCGGCCAACUAAGUCCGACGUGAAAUCCCAAGGCUUAACCUUGGAACUGCGUCGGAUACUGGAUGGCUUGAAUUCGGGAGAGGGAUGCGGAAUUCCAGGUGUAGCGGUGAAAUGCGUAGAUAUCUGGAGGAACACCGGCGGCGAAGGCGGCAUCCUGGACCGGCAUUGACGCUGAGGCGCGAAAGCCAGGGGAGCAAACGGG
rnacentral:rRNA from 1 species